UACGUAGGCAGCGAGCGUUGUUCGGAGUUACUGGGCGUAAAGGGUGUGUAGGCGGUUGUUUAAGUUUGGUGUGAAAUCUCCCGGCUCAACUGGGAGGGUGCGCCGAAUACUGAAUGACUUGGAGUGCGGGAGAGGAGAGUGGAAUUCCUGGUGUAGCGGUGAAAUGCGUAGAUAUCAGGAGGAACACCGGUGGUGUAGACGGCUCUCUGGACCGUAACUGACGCUGAGACACGGAAGGCCAGGGGAGCAAACGGG
rnacentral:rRNA from 1 species